rnacentral:rRNA from 1 species
GAUGAACGCUGGCGGCGUGCUUAACACAUGCAAGUCGAACGAUGAAGCCCAGCUUGCUGGGUGUAUUAGUGGCGAACGGGUGAGUAACACGUGAGUACCCUGCCCUUAACUCUGGGAUAAGCCUGGGAAACUGGGUCUAAUACCGGAUAGGAGCGUCCACCGCAUGGUGGGUGUUGGAAAGAUUUAUCGGUUUUGGAUGGACUCGCGGCCUAUCAGCUUGUUGGUGAGGUAAUGGCUCACCAAGGCGACGACGGGUAGCCGGCCUGAGAGGGUGACCGGCCACACUGGGACUGAGACACGGCCCAGACUCCUACGGGAGGCAGCAGUGGGGAAUAUUGCACAAUGGGCGCAAGCCUGAUGCAGCGACGCCGCGUGAGGGAUGACGGCCUUCGGGUUGUAAACCUCUUUCAGUAGGGAAGAAGCGAAAGUGACGGUACCUGCAGAAGAAGCACCGGCUAACUACGUG